rnacentral:rRNA from 1 species
UACGUAGGGAGCAAGCGUUAUCCGGAUUUACUGGGUGUAAAGGGCGCGUAGGCGGCGUGUCAAGUCAGGCGUGAAAGCCCCGGGCUCAACCUGGGAACCGCGCUUGAGACUGGCAUGCUCGAGUUCGGGAGAGGAUGGUGGAAUUCCCAGUGUAGAGGUGAAAUUCGUAGAUAUUGGGAAGAACACCGAUGGCGAAGGCAGCCAUCUGGACCGACACUGACGCUGAGGCGCGAAAGCGUGGGGAGCAAACAGG